AUGUAAGGCACUCUGUCUUUAAGUAGGGAUAUUUACUCUUAAAAUUACUUAAAAAAAAAAGAAUCCUGGAUAGUUUUCCCUUCAAGUCAAAUUUCUUUU
rnacentral:pre_miRNA from 1 species